AACGAACGCUGGCGGCAUGCCUAACACAUGCAAGUCGAACGAGACCUUCGGGUCUAGUGGCGCACGGGUGCGUAACGCGUGGGAACCUGCCCUUAGGUUCGGAAUAAUUCCCCGAAAGGGGUGCUAAUACCGGAUAAUGUCUUCGGACCAAAGAUUUAUCGCCUUUGGAUGGGCCCGCGUUGGAUUAGCUAGUUGGUAGGGUAAAAGCCUACCAAGGCGACGAUCCAUAGCUGGUCUGAGAGGAUGAUCAGCCACACUGGGACUGAGACACGGCCCAGACUCCUACGGGAGGCAGCAGUGGGGAAUAUUGGACAAUGGGCGAAAGCCUGAUCCAGCAAUGCCGCGUAAGUGAUGAAGGCCUUAGGGUUGUAAAGCUCUUUUACCCGAGAUGAUAAUGACAGUACCGGGAGAAUAAGCUCCGGCUAACUCCGUG
rnacentral:rRNA from 1 species